rnacentral:rRNA from 1 species
UGGGGAAUAUUGGACAAUGGGCGGAAGCCUGAUCCAGCAACGCCGCGUGAGGGAUGACGGCCUUCGGGUUGUAAACCUCUUUUCAGUACCGACGAAGCGAAAGUGACGGUAGGUACAGAAGAAGGACCGGCCAACUACGUGCCAGCAGCCGCGGUAAUACGUAGGGUCCGAGCGUUGUCCGGGAUUAUUGGGCGGUAAAGGGCUCGUAGGCGGUUUGUCGCGUCGGGAGUGAAAACAGCGGGCUUAACUCGUUGCUUGCUUUCGAUACGGGCAGACUAGAGGUAUGCAGGGGAGAAUGGAAUUCCUGGUGUAGCGGUGAAAUGCGCAGAUAUCAGGAGGAACACCGGUGGCGAAGGCGGUUCUCUGGGCAUUACCUGACGCUGAGGAGCGAAAGUGUGGGGAGCGAACAGGAUUAGAUA